rnacentral:rRNA from 1 species
UGUUUCGAUAGUUCAAUAAACAAUACUUGUUACUCUGUGUAAUUCUAGGGUUAAGGUUGAAAGGGAUUUAACACACAUAAUCAUAUGUGACAACUGUUAAAAGUCUUAUAUAGUUCUGCUAGUAACUUUCUCUCUGAGAAGGGGCCUUGUGUCUAAUUAGGUAGUUGGUAAAGCAAAGCUAACUAAGGCAAUUAGGAAGAUCAACCACACUAACUGAGACACAGCCCAUACUCCUACUAAAUGCAGUAGUGGGGAAUUCUCCGCAAUGGGAGAAAGCCCGACAGAGCAAUGUCGCGUGGAGGUAGAAGAGGCAAUGAAAGCAUCGGCUUUCUUUGUGCUAGCAGUCGCGGUAAAACAAAGGAUGCAAGCA